UGAUCAUGGCUCAGGUGACGCUGGCGGAUGCUUUACACAUGCAUCGAACGGCAGCACGGACUUCGGUCUGGUGGCGAGUGGCGAACAGGUGGUAAUGUCCGGAACGUGCCUAGUAGCGGGGGAUAACUGCGGCGUAGCUAAUACCGCAUACGCCCUUCGGGGGAAAGCGGGGGACCUUCCGGGCCUCGCACUAUUAGAGCGGCCGAUAUCGGAUUAGCUAGUUGGUGGGGGUAACGGCUCACCAGGCGACGAUCCGUAGCUGGUUUGAGUGGACGACCAGCCACACUGGGACUGAGACACGGCCCCAGACUCCUACAGGAGGCAGCAGUGGGGAAUUUUGGACAAUGGGGGAAACCCUGAUCCAGCCAUCCCGCGUGUGCGAUGAAGGCCUUCAGGUUUGUAAAACCCUUUUUGGCAGGAGAAACGGCACGGAUAAUACCCCGUGCAACUGACGUACCUGCAGAAUAAGCACCGGCUAACUACGUGCCAGCAGCCGCGGGCAAUACGUAGGGUGCAAGCGUUAAUCGGAAUUACUGGGCGUAAAGCGUGCCGCGAGCGGUUCCGGAAAAGAAAGAUGCUUGAAAUCCCAGAGCUUAACUUUGGAACUGCAUUUUAACCACCGAGCUAGAGUGUUGUCAGAGGGAGGUGGAAUUCCGCGUGUAGCAGUGAAAUGCGUAGAUAUGCGGAGGAACACCGAUGGCGAAGGCAGCCUCUGGGAUAACACUGACGCUCAUGCACGAAAGCGUGGGGAGCAAACAGGAUUCCAGAUACCCUGAGUGAUCCACGCCCUAAACGACAACUAGCUGUUGGGCCUUCGGGCCUUGGUAGCGCAACUAACGCGUGAAGUUGACCGCCUGGGAAGUACGGUCGCAAGAUUUAAAGAACUCAAAGGAAUUGACGGGGACCACAAGCGGUGGAUGAUGUGGAUUAAUUCGAUGCAACGCGAAAAACCUUACCUACGCUUGACAUGUCUGGAAUCCCGAAGAGAUUUGGAGUGCUCGCAAGAGAACCGGAACACAGGUGCUGCAGGGCUGUCGUCAGCUCGUGUCGUGAGGUGUGUUGGGUUAAGUCCCGCAACGAGCGCAGCCACUUGUCAUUAGUUGCUACGAAAGGGCACUCUAAUGAGACUGCCGGUAGUCAAACCGGAGGAAGGUGAGGAUGACGUCAAGUCCUCAUGGCCCUUCUGGGGUGGGAACUUCACACGUCCGCUACAAUGGUCGGGACAGAGGGUCGUAACCCGCGAGAGGCCAAAUCCCAGAAACCCGAUCGUAGUCCGGAUCGCAGUCUGCAACUCGCGCGACUGCGGCCAGUCGAAUCUCGCUAGUAAUCGCGGAUCAGCAUGUCGCGGUGAAUACGUUCCCGGGUCUUGUACACACUGCCCGUCUGCACACCAUGGGAGUGGGUUUGCAGUAGUUGGCCUAACCGUGGAGGUUACCACGGUAGGAUUCAUGACUGGGGUGAAGUCGUAACAAAGGUAA
rnacentral:rRNA from 1 species